GUGAACCAAUGAAAGCUGAUUCACUGUGGCGACCCCGGAAGCAAUAAUUGGCUUCAAACAAGCCUUACAUCUCACUAAAAAGUCACUAGUUUCUGUCCUUCAGAAAAGUCUCCUCCGUCUCCUCCAAACACUCCAGAAAUCCCCUGUGGUCCUCCUCUAAAUAUAUUCGUCACUAAAGUCCAAACUUCCUGAGCAGGGCUGAAGGCUGCUGUUGGGUAGGUGGGGAACAGCGCCACCUGUGGGACAGGAGAUCAAACUGCAGCCACCAGAAACAGCAAGAACAGAACAUCCGUCACUGAAAUCACACUCAAUUAAAAAAAGGGAUGUUUAUUCUGAAAUUAUGAAUAACUAUUUUAAUUUUGACUGGUUUCAUUUAAUGUUUCCUGUUUCCGAACUGGUCAUCAUAGUGGGUCAUUGGGCUGAGAAUUUAUAUGACUUUUACUUCUUCUCAAUCCCUUUCAGAUAUUUACUGUUUUUUAUUUUAUUUUGAAAGCAUACCUUUGAAAUAAAAUCACUUGACAUGAAGAUCAGAGUCAAACUUCCACUAUUUAUCACAAAGUAGAUCUGAUUUCCGUCGUGUUUUUUAUUAGGAAUUAAAUCUUUUAUUCAUUUGUUGUGCAGAAUCUAGACCCCAACCUGAGCCGCUUCAUCCUUUAGAAAAUGUCCACGCUUGACGCAAAACUCCUUGAAACUGCUGAGAGGGCCGUCUCUAUGGGGAAGCACGGCAGAUUGAUGGUAAUCCAGCAGAUCCCACCCUAAAAACACGAGACUUAAGGUGAUGGAUCUCUAUACUUACUGGAGGUCGGAAAUUUGUUUUCAAUAAUUCUGUCCACCAGCGGCGCCAACAGAUAAGAGCUGAACACCGCUUGUGUUGGACAAAGUUCACUGUUACAGUGGGGCAGGGCCAGAUCUACACAGCCCCGGUUGGGGGUGUGGUGGACCAGGCAAUCACGGCCAAGAACACCGGAGUUUAGACCAAAAAUAAAUCAUUUUUAAUCAUUCAAAGUUCACAAGAUCCAACUGAACAAACAUAGCUUAAAGGGGCCCAGACAAGAGGUCACAUUAGCAAACUCAAAAUGACUUGUAACUAAUGAAAGAACUCAAAGAACUGACCUGACAUUACCACACACAUGAGGACUUUCUAAUGAGUGGGUUAAACCACUAAUGAUACAACGGGGGUUGAGACAAAAAACAUCAGCAAAAGCAGAACAGAGAAACCCAUUCCCUUCCCCAUGGAGUCCAGGUAGUGGUAGGACCCUCUUGGAGCGCUUCUCAGUUUGGCACCAUCUUUAGGCCACCUCAAGCAGGUACAGCUCCACAUGAAAACUCAAUACAACAAUUAAUGUACACAACUAACCACAGCAAAAGUACAUAUAAUGUUAAUCCUGUAUGACUGCAGUCAUCACAGGGAGUGCAAGUGUGGGUAUCCUCCCAAGCCUCUAAACUGCAUAAAAACAGUGCUAUAAGUAUUGCCUCCUGUGACGUCAGUCGUUCUAACGUUAGUCGUCUGUUUUCUGUGCAAAAGUCCUAACAAUCGAGUCCACAUCCAGGUUUCUUUGUAUGGUCUUCUCAAGAGCCAAAGUAACUACAUUUAGUUUUCUUUCAUGUGGCACAGUGCAGCGCAGAGGUGCCCAGAAGGACAUGCGGGUAGAUUGUGGGCCGUCCAAAAUAAAUGAACAAAAAUUGAAAUAUAUGUUUAGGAAAAAAAUCUGUCAGCAAAUAAUUAUGAAAUACGUCCUGUUGACUGGAGAGCCAGACGCCUCUUGUGUUACACAGAUGUUACUGUUACAAUGGGGGGUUGUGUCGCUUCAGAUACGUGGGGGUAUAUUCAGAUAAACCCCUUUUGUAUUCAAGGCUAAGGGCUUCCCUUCAGGUUUGUGGAAAUAUUCAGACAUGUUUGCAGGCCUUCAAUCUAAUUUACUUUGACAGUUUUUUUGGAUUUUUCGGUUUUCCGUUCAGCAGAUUUCCAACGUCGGAGGCGGAAGCGUCUGCAGGCAGACGAGCGGAACCCGGACCACCCCAGAGCGACUCCCUCUGAACCCCAUGACACCUUCCUCCCUCCCUCGGAGCGUGUGAACUGAGGGAAUCCCGGAAAAGUGAGGACCGUCCUGCAGAGGUCCAGAACGCCGUUCAGGACUGAACUUCACCUUCGUCUUCCUGUAAGCUGUCUCAGCGAGCUUUGAGUGAAACCAAGAGAAGCAGGUGGAUCAGGCUGAACGGGUCUGCUCCCUGUUUGUCCUUUUAACACUUUAAAUCCCAGCUACAGCUGAGAAAAAGAACAAGACGUUUCAGAAAAUGCCGGCUUUAUGUUCAUCUCUUUUUUGUUGGUGAUGUUUUUUUUUGGUUUGAAUUGUGUUUGUAGGUUAUUUGCAGCAACAUGGACAUCCGUUUUGUUGUUUUCGUCUUCGUUUGAAGCAUUUUUUUAAGAAGCUGCCUUGUUUGCU